UGGGGAAUUUUGCACAAUGGGGGAAACCCUGAUGCAGCGACGCCGCGUGAUUUAGAAGGCCUUCGGGUUGUAAAAAUCUUUUUUAUGGGAUGAAAAUGACAGUACCAUAAGAAUAAGGUCCGGCUAAAUACGUGCCAGCAGCCGCGGUAAUACGUAUGGACCGAGCGUUGUCCGGAAUCAUUGGGCGUAAAGGGUACGUAGGCGGCCCAGUAAGUUAGAAGUGAAAUAAUAUAGCCCAACUAUAUAAAGCUUUUAAAACUGCUAGGCUUGGGAGAUGGAAGGGAAAGUGGAAUUCCUAGUGUAGCGGUGAAAUGCGCAGAUAUUAGGAAGAAUACCGGUGGCGAAGGCGACUUUCUGGUCAUCAUCUGACGCUGAGGUACGAAAGCGUGGGUAGCAAACAGG
rnacentral:rRNA from 1 species